AAGUCGUAACAAGGUCUCCGUAGGUGAACCUGCGGAGGGAUCAUUACUGAGUGAGGGUUCACAGCCCGACCUCCAACCCUUUGUGAACACCAACCUGUUGCUUCGGGGGUGACCCUGCCGUUCGCGGCGAAGCACCCCCGGAGGCCAAUUAACACUGCAUCAAUGUCGUCGGAGUAUAAAGUUAAUAAACAAAA
rnacentral:misc_RNA from 1 species